rnacentral:rRNA from 1 species
AACGAACGCUGGCGGCAGGCUUAACACAUGCAAGUCGAACGCCCCGCAAGGGGAGUGGCAGACGGGUGAGUAACGCGUGGGAAUCUACCGUACCCUACGGAACAACUCCGGGAAACUGGAGCUAAUACCGUAUACGCCCUACGGGGGAAAGAUUUAUCGGGGUAUGAUGAGCCCGCGUUGGAUUAGCUAGUUGGUGGGGUAAAGGCCUACCAAGGCGACGAUCCAUAGCUGGUCUGAGAGGAUGAUCAGCCACAUUGGGACUGAGACACGGCCCAAACUCCUACGGGAGGCAGCAGUGGGGAAUAUUGGACAAUGGGCGCAAGCCUGAUCCAGCCAUGCCGCGUGAGUGAUGAAGGUCUUAGGAUUGUAAAGCUCUUUCACCGAUGAAGAUAAUGACGGUAGUCGGAGAAGAAGCCCCGGCUAACUUCGUGCCAGCCGCCGCAGUAA